rnacentral:rRNA from 1 species
AGAGUUUGAUCAUGGCUCAGAUUGAACGCUGGCGGCAUGCCUUACACAUGCAAGUCGGACGGCAGCGCGGGGGCAACCCUGGCGGCGAGUGGCGAACGGGUGAGUAAUACAUCGGAACGUGUCCUGGAGUGGGGGAUAGCCCGGCGAAAGCCGGAUUAAUACCGCAUACGAUCUCUGGAUGAAAGCGGGGGACCGAAAGGCCUCGCGCUCAAGGAGCGGCCGAUGGCGGAUUAGCUAGUUGGUGGGGUAAAGGCCCACCAAGGCGACGAUCCGUAGCUGGUCUGAGAGGACGACCAGCCACACUGGGACUGAGACACGGCCCAGACUCCUACGGGAGGCAGCAGUGGGGAAUUUUGGACAAUGGGGGCAACCCUGAUCCAGCAAUGCCGCGUGUGUGAAGAAGGCCUUCGGGUUGUAAAGCACUUUUGUCCGGAAAGAAAACUUUCGCCCGAAUACGGUGGAGGGAUGACGGUACCGGAAGAAUAAGCACCGGCUAACUACGUGCCAGCAGCCGCGGUAAUACGUAGGGUGCGAGCGUUAAUCGGAAUUACUGGGCGUAAAGCGUGCGCAGGCGGUGAUGUAAGACCGAUGUGAAAUCCCCGGGCUUAACCUGGGAACUGCAUUGGUGACUGCAUUGCUGGAGUAUGGCAGAGGGGGGUGGAAUUCCACGUAGCAGUGAAAUGCGUAGAGAUGUGGAGGAACACCGAUGGCGAAGGCAGCCCCCUGGGCCAAUACUGACGCUCAUGCACGAAAGCGUGGGGAGCAAACAGGAUUAGAUACCCUAGUAGUCC